rnacentral:rRNA from 1 species
UACGGAGGGUGCAAACGUUGUUCGGAAUCAUUGGGCGUAAAGCGCACGUAGGCGGUCCGUUAAGUCGGGUGUGAAAUCCCUCGGCUCAACCGAGGAAGUGCAUUCGAAACUGGCGGACUUGAGUAUGGAAGAGGGUCGUGGAAUUCCCGGUGUAGAGGUGAAAUUCGUAGAUAUCGGGAGGAACACCAGUGGCGAAGGCGGCGACCUGGGCCAAUACUGACGCUGAGGUGCGAAAGCGUGGGGAGCAAACAGG